UACAGAGGGGGCAAGCGUUGUUCGGAAUUACUGGGCGUAAAGGGCGCGUAGGCGGCCAACUAAGUCAGACGUGAAAUCCCUCAGCUUAACUGGGGAACUGCGUCUGAUACUGGAUGGCUUGGAUUCGGGAGAGGGAAGCGGAAUUCCGGGUGUAGCGGUGAAAUGCGUAGAUAUCCGGAGGAACACCGGUGGCGAAGGCGGCAUCCUGGACCAAUACUGACACUGAGGAGCGAAAGCCAGGGGAGCAAACGGG
rnacentral:rRNA from 1 species